UGGGGUGUCUUUACCAGAGGGGCCACACCCGUUCCCAUUCCGAACACGGUAGUUAAGCCCUCUAGGGCCGAUGGUACUGUAGUAGCAAUGCUAUGGGAGAGUAGGACGAUGCUCCAU
rnacentral:rRNA from 4 species